rnacentral:rRNA from 1 species
GAUGAACGCUGGCGGCGUGCCUAAUACAUGCAAGUCGAGCGAACAGACGAGGAGCUUGCUCCUCUGACGUUAGCGGCGGACGGGUGAGUAACACGUGGAUAACCUACCUAUAAGACUGGGAUAACUUCGGGAAACCGGAGCUAAUACCGGAUAAUAUAUUGAACCGCAUGGUUCAAUAGUGUAAGACGGUUUUGCUGUCACUUAUAGCUGGAUCCGCGCCGCAUUAGCUAGUUGGUAAGGUAACGGCUUACCAAGGCAACGAUGCGUAGCCGACCUGAGAGGGUGAUCGGCCACACUGGAACUGAGACACGGUCCAGACUCCUACGUGAGGCAGCAGUAGGGAAUCUUCCGCAAUGGGCGAAAGCCUGACGGAGCAACGCCGCGUGAGUGAUGAAGGUCUUCGGAUCGUAAAACUCUGUUAUUAGGGAAGAACAAAUGUGUAAGUAACUAUGCACGUCUUGACGGUACCUAAUCAGAAAGCCACGGCUAACUACGUG